rnacentral:rRNA from 1 species
GACGAACGCUGGCGGCGUGCUUAACACAUGCAAGUCGAACGGUAAGGCCUUCGGGUACACGAGUGGCGAACGGGUGAGUAACACGUGGGUGAUCUGCCCCCUACUCUGGGAUAAGCCUGGGAAACUGGGUCUAAUACCGGAUAUGACCUCCUUCUGCAUGGUUGGUGGUGGAAAGUUUUUUCGGUAGGGGAUGAGCCCGCGGCCUAUCAGCUAGUUGGCGGGGUAACGGCCCACCAAGGCGAUGACGGGUAGCUGGUCUGAGAGGAUGGCCAGCCCCAUGGGGACUGAUAUACGGCCCAGACUCCUACGGGAGGCAGCAGUGGGGAAUCUUGCGCAAUGGUCGAAAGACUGACGCAGCGACGCCGCGUGCGGGAGGAAGCCCUUCGGGGUGUAAACCGCUGUUACUCGGGACGAACUUCCCGAUUUGUCGGGAUUGACGGUACCGGGGGAGGAAGCACCGGCUAACUCUGUGCCAGCCGCCGCCGUAACAC